rnacentral:lncRNA from 1 species
AUAUAUAUAUAGUCUACUAUACUAUUAAUAGUAUCAACCACUUAUUAUUAGGUUUUCGGCCUUUGGACAAAGGGAUGUGCGGUUAGAAUGAUAGUGAUCCUUUAAGGUUAAGUGGGUGGUUACUUAAAUAAUAUGAUUUAACGGAUAAAAAUGGUCAAAAAGGUAGAUUUAACGGCACAUAAUUCGAUAACACUAAGUAUUUGAUACUAUUGAUAAUAUAGUUGCCAGACUCUAUCUCUCUCUCCUCUCUAUAUAUAUAGUCCGGCUACUAUACUAUUUAUACUAUUGAUAGUACUAAGCGCUUUGUACUAUUGAGUUUUCUACCAUUAGAUCUGCCUAUAUAUAUAUAUAUAUAUAUAGAGUCCGGCUAUUAUACUAUCGAUAGUACCAAGCAUUUGGCACUAUCGAGUUUUCUGCUGUUAGAUCUAUCCCUUUGGCUAUUUUUAGAUCAUACUAUUCAACUAGCCACCCACUCAACCCUAGGGGGCUACUAUCAUCCUUACCGCACAUCCAUUCAUCCAAAGGCCGAAAACCUAAUAGCAAGCGGUUUGUACUAUUAAUAGUAUAAUAGCCAAAUUUUAUAUAUAUAAACUCGGGCUACUAUACUCUUAUAAGUAUAGAACUCUUUAUACUUAUAAAUUUUCAGUCAUUGAAUGUGCGAUUAGAAUGAUAGUGGUCCCCUAAGAUUGAGUUGGUGGUUCGUUGAACAGUAUGAUUUAGUGGAUGAAAAUGGUCAAAAUGAUAUAAAUCUAAUGGUCGAAAACUUAUGAGUAUAAUUAUACU